rnacentral:rRNA from 1 species
AGUGAACGCUGGCGGUAGGCCUAACACAUGCAAGUCGAACGGCAGCACAGUAAGAGCUUGCUCUUACGGGUGGCGAGUGGCGGACGGGUGAGGAAUACAUCGGAAUCUACUUUUUCGUGGGGGAUAACGUAGGGAAACUUACGCUAAUACCGCAUACGACCUACGGGUGAAAGCAGGGGAUCUUCGGACCUUGCGCGAUUGAAUGAGCCGAUGUCGGAUUAGCUAGUUGGCGGGGUAAAGGCCCACCAAGGCGACGAUCCGUAGCUGGUCUGAGAGGAUGAUCAGCCGCACUGGAACUGAGACACGGUCCAGACUCCUACGGGAGGCAGCAGUGGGGAAUAUGGGACAAUGGGCGCAAGCCUGAUCCAGCCAUACCGCGUGGGUGAAGAAGGCCUUCGGGUUGUAAAGCCCUUUUGUUGGGAAAGAAAAGCAGCAGGUUAAUACCCCGCUGUUCUGACGGUACCCAAAGAAUAAGCACCGGCUAACUUCGUG